UGACUACUCGCUGAUGUCCACACCUCUUUUUUCUUCUUCUUUUUCGUUCUUGUAAACCUCUGAUUUCCCUUUCUACGCUUAUUCUCUUUCUUAUUUGAGGAGGGAUUCACCUUCAAGGUUUUUUAGGUUAAAAGCUUUCUCCGCACCGCGAUGUGUGGGGCCCACCAUGAUGUGUGCAUGGCAUCUCGUGUCCGCUAGCUCAGGUCUCUUUGUCCAGUAAAAAAACAUGCCCGUACAAAAACUGAAGUGGGCCACAGCUGCAAUGGGUACUCAGCAUUAAAAACCUGAGAGAUUGUGUGGGCCCACCAUACUUUUUAAAUGGCAUCCACCCAUGCAGAUGAUGCUCGCCCAAAAAUCAGGCCAUUCCAAGACAAAGGUGGGCCACAUCAUUUAUAAGAACUGGAAACGCGUGUAUGCACUUAAAAGAUGCGGUCACCGUCUUAUAUAAUUAUAAAAAGAUACACGUGGCCUGCAUCUUUGCAUGGCUUACACGGUUCUUCAUUUCUCACACGUGGGUGUUAUGGUCCGAUAAUUAGAACCGUUGGAUCAGCCUUGGAUGGACCAUUCCAUUUGUGACCAAAAUACAGACGGUUAAGAAGUGAAACUGAAUUAACUACGCACUUUCUACUGAAAUUGGUGCGACCAUUGGACGGAGGGAUCUCUGCCGAUUGGAAAUUUCUUGUAGCAUGGGACAUGGGACCGACGGUCCUGAUUACCGUACCAUGCACCCACUUGUCUGAACGAGAUACACGUGGAAACUGCUCAAACAUGCGGGCCACGUUUCGUACAAUCCCUCGCCUCUCUAAGCAAUUUUUAUAUAAAGCUGGGGGUAUAUAUGUCUUUUGCUCAGACCACGUCGAUCAAACCUGCAACGUACAAUACGUGGAUGCGAACACGUCGUCGUGACUGGUGGUGUUAAAAGACAAGAGUGCCCUUAUCAGAUCACGCUACGUCGAUGCCCCUCUCAGACGGGCGACGUAUGAGACGUUGCGUUAAGGGUACUGUGCUCAUUUGACGAGAGAUUCUAUCUUCUCUGGUUUUCAUUUUAACACCUGUUUCCGACUCCAAUGCGGUGUUCAAAAAGGAGUUCGUUUCGACACGUCGCGACUCAGGAUCCCACGUGUUUCAGCCACUGGGCCCACGUGCUGAGUUCAUCUGAUAAUAUGAACCGUCCAUAUCUCAUGAUCUAACCUGUGAUGUUAGGAGUUGAAUUGGAGGCAAUGAGAAAGAUUUCUGGGUCAUGGAAGGUUCAUAAUCGUGAACCGUCCAGGGUAAUUUUUUAUAGUUAUUUGCACAGAGUAUAGUUCAUAAUAUGAAUGGUUCCGAUCAUGGGACCACUCAGCAUGUGGGCCCCAGUGAGGGGCGACUCACCAAAGACGGUGUGGCCCUUACUGUGUGGGACCCAAGCAUGUAUUCUAUAUCCACGCCGUCCAUUCGUUUUCCCAGAUCGUUUUAGUUGAUGAGCCCAAAAAUGAAGCUGAUCCAAACCUCAUGUGAACCAUACCAUAGGAAACAGUGGUGAUUGGAACUUAAUAACUUAUAAUGAGCCACAAAAAUUUUUGAUCAUCCUGGUUGGGAAAUUUUUAAUGGUGGGAAGUUCAAUCACCACUGUUUCCUAUACUAUGGUUAACCUGAGACCUUGGUCUGCUUCAUUUUUGGCAUCAGGCCUUAAAAUGUUAUGGAAAAGCGGAUGGACGGAGUGGAUAUAGAAUAUAUACAUGAAGGCUGGCUCCAUGGCAGACGACGUACCGUCUUUCGUGGGGCCGGGGCCGCACCUAAUCAGCCGUAAUUCAUCCCGACGUAAUAAAUCGGAGGAGAU